rnacentral:rRNA from 1 species
UACGAAGGGGGCUAGCGUUGUUCGGAAUUACUGGGCGUAAAGCGCGCGCAGGCGGUUCUCCAAGUCAGUGGUGAAAGCCCGGAGCUAACUCCGGAACUGCCAUUGAAACUGUUGAACUUGAGGACGAGAGAGGUGAGUGGAAUUCCCAGUGUAGAGGUGAAAUUCGUAGAUAUUGGGAAGAACACCAGUGGCGAAGGCGGCUCACUGGCUCGUAUCUGACGCUCAGGCGCGAUAGCGUGGGGAUCAAACAGG